rnacentral:rRNA from 1 species
CACCUUUUGACAUGCCUGGACAAACCGAGAGAUCGGUCUUUCCCUUCGGGGACUGGGACACAGGUGCAGCAUGGCUGUCGUCAGCUCGUGUCGUGAGAUGUUGGGUUAAGUCCCGCAACGAGCGCAACCCUCGCUGUUAGUUGCCAUCAUUUAGUUGGGAACUCUAACAGGACUGCCGGUGCUAAGCCGGAGGAAGGUGGGGAUGACGUCAAGUCCUCAUGGCCCUUACAAGGUGGGCUACACACGUGCUACAAUGGUGACUACAGAGGGCAAAUCCCUAAAAGUCAUCUCAGUUCGGAUCGUCCUCUGCAACUCGAGGGCGUGAAGUUGGAAUCGCUAGUAAUCGCGGAUCAGCAUGCCGCGGUGAAUA